rnacentral:misc_RNA from 1 species
UGUCAGGAACAAUUGGUUGAUUUUCUGGUUGACUAAAUACGAGCUUGUUGCAGAGCUAGUACACAGACAGAUGAAAAACCUUCAAUUCCUACGCGAAGGUGCAAUCGAUACGUAUACCACUUUUAUCGGGUAGCAGCUUCUUCAUGUAAUACUUUGAUCUACGGGCGAGAUUGAUCUUUUUCCUUCUUUGCUCUGGUAUAUGAUCAAUGGAACAUUCAGAAAAGCCACGCCUCACAAACCAAUCAGCUGUGCGAGUUGUUAGAAGGAAGAGCAUUUGCAAUCCAAGAGAAGAUGCUUUCUUUUCAAUGUAAUCGAGUAACUUGUCUCCCUGUCCUUGGCCACGACAAUCCGGAGAAACAGCAAUAGCAGCAACCUCCCCACAUUUUUCUUCAAAGUAAGGA